AGCUCUUUUAUAGCCCACAAAAUUUGUAGGAAAGCUCAAACAGGAUUGUUCUAGAAAGUCUGAUAUGAGUGAUUGCUUCCUCAUUUCUUUUCAGGAAAUAGAAGCAGCUCUGGGCUGAGGACUCAAUCUGCUCUUCCUUUCUGGAUGUAGAGUUUGGGCUCAAUUUCUCCAAGACCAUUAACCCAGUAAUCUGAGCUCAGUGGCUCCAGCAUCCACAUGACUGGAAACAGAAGGGUUUCGCCUCUUGCUGUUGGAGGGGUUUAACACACUGUGGAGCUUAGUGGAUUUCUUUCAGGUUUUGUUUCAGCUGCCAAGAGCUCAGGGACUCAAGCAUUUUAAAAAGCUCAAGGAAUGUCAGAGAAUUGAGAAGGGACCCAGGGAAUUGGUGUUUGCUGAGCUAUUGCUGGUGUGCCUGGGAUGGAGAACAAGGAGGCCUAGAGAUGUGGCCCAUCCUGAAGAUCUGGCUGAGAGGGCUUUGUGCUGCAGGUCUAGCCUCUUUAGUAAUCUUCUCUGCAAGCAAAUGCAUGUGGAGCCAGUGACUAUGAAGUUGGUCAUAUUAAAUUUACUCAGUUUUCUUCAAGUCUUCAAGCGUGAAGCGUUGCAAACCUUCAUAUGUACACUAGGGAAAGAAAGGAAGAAAAAAAAGAACUCCACCGCAAGGCCUAAGGAAAAGGCUGUGGAAAGAAAACAGCAAGAUAAAGCAACACAAUUUCAAAUCUUAAUCUCCUGAAAUGGUGCCUUUAAAGCCGCACUUUCCACAUUUCUGAGUGAAGCCCGUCAAAACUCCGUGUCAAAUCAUGUUAUAACCUUGCUUCUUAUCUGUUUGUGAUAGCUUUCAAGGGCCAGUAAUUCCCCCAUAUGUGGCAGAAAAGUUGAUAGUAGAGAUUUGCGCACUUGACUAAGCUUCCUGCAUUGCUUUUUGUGCAGUGCUGGUGAAGGACAGAGAUUUGUUCUCCCUUUCAGAACUAAACAUGCAACUGCCAACGACACAGUCAAGAAGCAAACCAGAAUCACUCACUUGGUCAGGUAAUCUACAGAACGAUGACUUAAUAUUAUAUAUACUCUCUUCUUUUGUCCAGUAAAACACAUAGAUAGGUAGAAUGCCCCUGCCUUUUUUCAAGUAAAAAUUAACAGACAAGACCCCAUUAUUGAGGGAGUGCUUUUUGGUACCCUCUCCCCAGAUGCCCUCCUUUGGCACACCUGUCCCAUCACCAGAGGUGGCCUGUAGUUCUGGGUGCCAGCUGGCUCCUGGGGUGAAGACAGUGCCAGGGGCUCAGGAAAGGAAACCAUAACAGCGGUGGAGACCAUAAUGGCUGUGGAAAGAGGGUGUCAUCUGCCUUGGGAAGGGUGGGAGACAACUCACUUUAUUUCCUUCUCUAUCCACCUAGUGGCACUGACUUCCUGAGGCUUAAACAGGAAGAAGCAGGUGUGACUAGAUCUGAGAGAUCAUGACCUGAGCCAAAGUAGGAUGUUCAACCAACUGAGCCACCCAGGCGCCCCUAGUUUUCUUUUUUUGUUUUUUGUUGUUAUUGUUGUUUUUAACAAAGAACAGCUUUCUUUAUUUAGAUAGACAACUUUCUGAAACAAAACCAAAAUUAGUUCCUCUUGGCAAACUAAUAUACUUUCUUGUAUUAGGCAUGAUAUCUAUUGUUCCCUUUUUUUCCUUGACUGUCCAGAGACUCAAAGCUGUAUUUUGUGCUUCCCUUUGAUUUUUUAAGUUGUUGUUUUUGUUUUUUUUAAUAAGCUCUAUGCCCAGCUUGGUGCUUGAACUCAUGACCUUGAGAUCAAGAGUCAUACGCUCUACCGAUUGAGCCAGCUAGGCACCUUCCUUUGAUUUUUUGACACAGUGAUCUCCCACUCCUUCCCAUCCCUUUCCUCUCCUAACACACAUACACACACACUUACCUGGUAAUCUAUAAAGAUGUAGCAUAGAUAACAUGUGUGUAAUACUGAUUAAAUAUUUCAGAAUUCUUAAAUUCUUAAGUAUUAAUAUGUGCCAAGGUCCUGUUUUUUAUUUUCUUCUGUUUUAUGUAUUUUCAUCUAAAACCUACUGGAUGUCUGAACUCAAUAGAAAGAACCAUUAUAUAAAUUCUAAAUUCUGUGAAUUCUAAAA